UUUCAGAUCACCAAACUCACCAUUAUACGAAGGGCAGAGCAAAGGUCCCAGGGUCAGAGAAUAAGCAAGGGAGCCUUGUUCUGGGUCUGGAGAUCACAAGAGAGCAUCCCUCUGUCUGCUGCCUUUCACCUUGAGUUGCUUCGCAGCAUCACCAGUGUGGAAGUGGAAGCAUAGAAUGAUUGUACCAUCCAGCCCUGUGUCCCAGAUGAAGGACCUGACUCCCGUGUAAGCUCUUCCAAGUGACUCAGCCAGCACUCCUUCACCAAAGAGCAACCAGAAAAAGCAUGAGCAUGCUUCUCUCCGGCCUUGUGUUACAGAAAGUAAGCCACCUAAAUGAUCUACCCAUUUUUGAUAACUUCAUAUCAGACAAGCGAAGACAUCAAGGAGGAACAAGAAGAGAAAAGAGAGAUGCUGAGGCCAAGUGCAGUCAGCUCUGUAAGUAGUAAAGGAAGGGGUUCAGAGUGGUAAGGUCGA
rnacentral:lncRNA from 1 species